rnacentral:misc_RNA from 1 species
UUGAAUUCCAAUUGGGUCAGGUUGUGCUGGCUGAAAAAGCAAGUGCACGCCUGCUCAUAAGCAUUCAAACCUCUGUGCACCUUUCAUAGAAUAGCUUGUAGAUUGGGUGACCUGUGUCACUUGGUUUGCAGCUGCUCUGUGUUUUUUACAAACUUAUAAAUCAGUUCAGAAUGUUUAUUGUGUAAAUACACAUUUUUAUUA